GAUUUUUCGUGUCCUUGUUCAUUUUAAUUUUGGCAGGUUGCUUCUCUUAGAGAAGGUGUAUCCCUAGAAACCAAACUUCUGAGUAGGUAAGCUAGCUUGUUUGCUAUUUAUGUAGGAAGGAAGCUGUUUUGUGACAAAGAGAGGGUGCUCUCAAGGCUGGCAAACAAACACAGGAUGAGAGAGAUGAGGAAAUUAUAGCCCUUCGUGUGAAAAUUCAGAAUCUAAAAGAUGAUACAGCAGCAGCAGCUUUUGAACAACAGCAAGAAGCUUCAAUCUUUCCCCUGUUUCUGGAUUUUGAUCUCUGCCUCCAAAGGAGAAGAAAAGGUGAGUUUCUCUUCCAUUUUUUCAUUUUGCUUCUGAUUCAUGUUGAUUUUCUCUGGAACCAUGUUGACAUUCUGGUAGGAUAUUCUUAUUUAAUUGAUUUAGUUGAAUGCAUGUGACUGUAAGCUAAUUAGCAAGUAGGCUUGGUUUUGGCUGGGUAGGAAGAUCAUUGAUUCUUAUUUUAGUUGAAUGCAUAUUGGUCUAGGAUAAUUAUUGGUGAUUAUAUGUCUUUGCAUGUGAUGUUUUACAGCUUGAUUAUUGAUUCACUUUUGUUGGAUUAUCUGGUUUAUGUUGAUGAUGAUAGUAGUUGCAUGUGAUGUUUUACAGCUUGAUUAUUGGUCAAAGUGCCUUUUCAGUUUAUCAGUAGCAUUUGGCUAACCAACCUGUGAAUGUUCUUCGUGAACUUCUUGAGUUCAAAAGUGAUCGUGCUCCAAUACCUGUAGGGAAGGUUGAACCUGCUUCAGCUAUUGUGCAUCGAUUCUGCACUUGUGGGAUGUCUCUUGGAGCUAUUUCAAGAGAAACUCAUGAAGCAAUUGCAAUUGCAAUGAACAGAUUAGGUGGAAUAUAUGUAAAAUUGUGUAAAAUUUAGUAUGGUUGAACAAUAUACUGAGGAUUAUAGUUGAUAAUACACUUUGUUUAUGUUUUGAAUUAUAUUGACUUGCUUGUUUAUAA